GCGCAGCAGUCGAGAAUCUUCCACAAUGGACGAAAGUCUGAUGGAGCGACGCCGCGUGGUUGAUGAAGUCCUUCGGGACGUAAAGACCUUUAUGGGGGAGGAAGUAAUUGACGUUACCCCAUGAAUAAGGGGCUCCUAACUCUGUGCCAGCAGGAGCGGUAAUACAGAGGCCCCAAGCGUUAUCCGGAAUCACUGGGCGUAAAGGGUGUGUAGGCGGCAUUGUUAGUCUUUUGUGAAAGCUCUUCGGCUUAACCGAGGAAACGCGGAAGAAACGGCAAAGCUUUGAGGAUACGAGAGGUAGA
rnacentral:rRNA from 1 species